UCAGAGAGGUUGUAAGUAAAGAAGUUGCAGCAAACAGUUAAGAGUUUAUGGAAUUUCAGAUGACCAAAACAUCCACAGCAUACUCGGUAGUAGGGAGUGCUGCGGCUUUCUACUUCCAUGAAUGGGAUCUACUGUUGAAGCAUAUUGUUCCCCACUGAUCCAGCACUGCAGGGGGUUGUUAGUGAGGCUCUACCUUUCACGGACGUCCUGUAAUGCAUUUUGAGUGACAACCAGCCAAGAGUCAAUCCUGCCAUCUUUGCUGCAAACACAUUAAUGUUGUCAGAUAUAAUCAGGGAAGAAAGUUGUUUAUCCUCUGUCGUGUUUCUGAAGAGCAAAUGUCAAGGUGUGCUUUGAAUGGAUGUCUCCAGAUGCAAAACAGACAUCAUCUUGAAAUCCUAUUAUGGCAUCCUGACAGCUCAUUUGUUAAUUUUCUCCUCAUCAAGUCUAGAAUAUGGCGUGUGGAUGAGGAGCUUAGGUGGAAGAAACAAUGCUUCCAGUUUGCUAUAAAUGUGUCUCAUCCUUAAAACUGGGACAAUUGGCUAAUGUGUUUGUUUGUGAUGAGACACAUUGUCCUACAUGCAGACAAAUACAUACCCCUGCCAACACUCCUUUUGUGCAAUCUCCAGCUAAGCUUCAAUACUAUAAUAUGCAAGUUAAAGAGAAAAUGCAGCCCAGUUCUUGGCAAAGAGGCAGUGCGAACUGUAUUCUGCAGUUAGUCUUCAAAAUAAAUCCAUGAUGAAUGAGAGUGUUCUGACCUGGUUGGUUGUCAUUAAAGGUAUAAUACAAGAGCAUUACUGCUGCUUCAGGAGGCUUGGUGUAUUGGAAAGGAAGCCUCAGAUUCCUGAUGUGCUUUUACCCAGAAAGUGAUUAAGCAAAUCUUACGUAGUGUACUGCAAAGGAACAUUAUCAAAUAAACACAGCCAAUAUCUGCUUAUUCAAGCUGCUGAACGUAUUUUGAACCAUUCUUUAUUUUCAGAAAACACAGAAUGACUCUCACACUAGAACUGAGUGCCUGUCAGUCUCAUUCUUCACUUCAUCAGUGGAGUACUAGCUUUCCUUUUUUCAGCAAUCAUGUCACAGCAAAUACAUUUGGCUGAUAGUAUUCUAAGUGUUUGAGCCAUUGUGUAGCAAUCCAGAUUUGACAAGUACAAAUCAGGAGCAAACCUUUAUGGCCCAACUUUACAAACCUUGAGAGGAUGUUUUUCUCAGAUGUUUUGCUUUGUACUAAUUGAUCAAACCUUCGACAGUGCCAUCGGUGAAAGUGUCAAGGUGUCAGUAACAGGGGGAUUUGACAGGGUGUGAUGACACAGGAACACAAAAAGUCGGGAAUGGAUUUUCUGGUUUCGUACACAAUAUACAUUCAAAGAUCACAUGCCAUCAACAGUCUGAAUAUGUGUCAUGUGAAAUAUUGAUUUUUGGAGCCUCACAAACACCAAACACACCAAACAAGUUGAGUCCAUCCUUUAAAUUGCCAUUCUGUUUAAAGUGUGCGAAGAAUGAGGGAGAACCAGAAAAGAUGAAUCCAUCAAAAAAUCUCUGAAAAGCCCCCCUCAGCAUUUAAAGGGGAAAAAAAGGCAUGAAAUAACCAGUGAGGUUAGGUGAAAGGGGUUUAAAUAAUUCAAAACACUGAGCACCAAGCAUUCACAAUUCUUUCAACUUGGUUAAGAAGGUUUACCAUACUUGCUUUUUAAAAAAUCAAUUAUUGCUGUAGUCCUAUAUCUAAGAUACACUCAAACAUGACUGAAUCACACUUUAUCAAACUUCUCCUAGUUGGUCUGACAUACCUAAAUUAUGUGGUUGGGGGUUGAUUUUUCUCCUCAGCGUUUACACCUCAGUCAAACUGAAACAGGCCUGAGUGAUCAACACAUGCUCCCGUCUGCAUGCCAAGCUUCAACCGGCAAGUUGGCUUUGGAUCAAGAAGGGCGAUAAAUGGUUUAGUGCGCUGCUUGGACACAAGUCGGGGUCUGAUCAGCCCCGGCUGGGUCGCCCAGGUGAGGGUGUCUGAUGAUCCAAGACCCGAAACACCCCGUGACCCUGGGUUCAUCACUGAAGAUGUGUCCAAGCUGCACCACUAAGGUGUUUGUUAAAACUAUCUACAUCUGGCAUAGCCAGUGACUUCCAGGAAAGGCUGGAUGACGACUACGAAUAGUGUAGUGACAACUGGAGAGACAGUGGACAGCUCGGAGAGACGGCACCAGGGGCAGCAAGGGUUAGCACCCCGAGCUGCAGCUCCCGUGAGGGAGCACCCAACUAAGCUACAGAAAGCCCUAAUGAAAGAUACCCCCAGGGGUGCCCGAGAGGGGGGGAGGAUGAGCACCCCACACGGAUGGAUUUACUGGCAAGGAAUAUGAGCAAUGGAUUACCGACAACAAGAGUAACCUGUAUGUGUGGCAAGAGCUGCAAGAAUCUCAAAGGUCCGAAGAUCCAUCAGACCAAGAUGGGCUGCUCGAGGAGGAAGCAAGCUGAACAACGCACAGAGGCAGUGCAUAGCACGGCCUCUGGUGAGACGAAGGAGGAGCCGGACCGGGAGUCAACCCACAGUGUCCAGAACCUCCAAGCUCAGUGCGCUCCACCCAGCAAUCCAACCGAACAUCGCAGGGUCUUGUGGCCAGCUGCACAUAAGGAGACUGAGUGGCGCCAGUUCGAUGAAGAUGCAGAUGCCGCUCUGGAAGCGUCAUCAAAGGGGGGAGUGGACCAGCAGCUUCAAACGAUGUGCACCUUCAUCAUCUGCAUCGGUGCUGAGCGAUUUGGGAUCAAACAGCCAAAGGCUAAGACAACAGCAAGACCAAACCGGCGAGAGAACAAGAUCACUGCACUCAGGAGAGACCUGAAGACCCUGAAAAAGCAAUUCAAGAAGGCCAGCGAGGAAGAAAGGCCCGCCCUGGCUGAGCUCCGAGCCAUCCUCAGGAAGAAGCUCAUUUCCCUACGUCGCGCUGAGUGGCACAGGAGGAAGGGUAGAGAGAGGGCCCGCAAGCGCACUGCUUUCAUAGCUGACUCUUUCGGGUUUACGAAGAAGCUGCUAGGGCAAAAGCGGAGUGGGACCCUUAUGUGCCCAGAAGACGGCAUCAACCGCCAUCUCUCAGAAACCUACAGCGACAGGCAAAGGGAAGAAGACCUUGGCCCCUGCAGAGAGCUAAUUACACCACCCCCACCCUCCAGCCAAUUCAACAUCAAAGAGCCAACACUGGCAGAGGUCAGGAACACAGUCAGGGCUGCACGAACCAGUGCAGCACCAGGGCCGAGUGGCGUGCCAUACAAAGUUUACAAGCGCUGCCCGAGACUACUGCAGAGGCUGUGGAGGAUCAUCAGGACAGUAUGGCGAAGAGGCAGGGUAGCCAAGCAGUGGAGGCAUGCCGAAGGUGUCUGGAUACCGAAGGAGGAAAACGCAAGUGACAUCUCGCAGUUCCGAACCAUCUCACUGCUCAGUGUAGAGGGCAAGAUCUUUUUCAAGAUCCUUGCCAACCGCAUGACAGAGUUUCUCCUGAAGAAUUCAUACAUCGACACCAGCGUGCAGAAAGGGGGAGUUCCAGGCUUUCCAGGCUGCAUUGAACACACUGGAGUUGUUACCCAGCUGAUCCGAGAGGUGAGACAAAACCGAGGAGAUUUGUCAGUCAUCUGGCUCGACCUGGCAAAUGCCUACGGAUCCAUUCCUCACAAGCUGGUGACAAAAGCUCUGACUAUGCACCAUGUCCCGCAGAAGAUCACAGAUCUCAUACAAGACUAUUACAACAGUUUUAGCAUGAGAUUCACCUCUGGAUCAAUAACGUCAGCAUGGCACCGUCUAGAAAAAGGCAUCGUCACUGGUUGUACCAUAUCAGUGACGCUGUUUGCUCUGGCAAUGACCAUGCUUGUCAAGGCAGCAGAAGUGGAAUGCAGAGGACCUCUCUCCAGAUCUGGCAUUCGCCAACCGCCAAUCAGAGCCUUUAUGGAUGACCUAACAGUCACAGCAACAUCAGUGCCAGGGUGCCGCUGGCUCCUUAAAGGUCUGGAACGGCUAACAUCUUGGGCGAGAAUGACAUUCAAGCCAGCCAAGUGCAGGUCCCUUGUGCUGAAGAAGGGGAAAGUGGAGGACAAGUUCCGCUUCCACAUGAACGGUCUUCAAAUCCCAUCUCUGACAGAGAAGCCGGUGAAAAGCUUGGGGAAGAUCUUUGAUGCUUCUCUGAGAGACACAGCAGCGAUCCAAGCUAUGCACUCAGAGCUGAAGACCUGGCUCACUGCGGUGGACAGAUCAGGCCUCCCAGGGAAGUUUAAAGCCUGGAUAUAUCAGCAUGGCAUCCUGCCAAGGCUUCUGUGGCCACUACUGAUGUGUACCAGGUCCCAGUUACAACAGUGGAGGCCUUAGAGCGAAACAUCAGCCAGUUCCUGCGCAGAUGGCUGGGCCUGCCGAAGAGUCUGAGCUGCAUUGCCCUUUAUGGGCACACCAACAAACUGCAGCUCCCAUUCUCAAGUCUGACAGAGGAGUUCAAAGUAACAAGAGCCAGGGAAGUGUUACUGUACAGAGACUCCUCCGACACCAGAGUCUCCUCUGCAGGCAUAGAGGUCAGGACUGGGAGGAAGUGGCGAGCGCAGGAGGCAGUCCAGCUGGCAGAGGCAAGGUUGCGGCAUGGUGCACUACUAGGCUCUGUGGCGGUUGGGCGAGCGGGACUCGGCUGCCAUAAAACACCACGCUACGACAGAGCACAGGGGAGAGACAAGCGGCAGAUGAUCCAGGGUGAGGUCCGAGCAGAGGUGGAGGAGGAGCGGCACAGCAAGACUGUGGCCAUGCGCCAGCAAAGAGCUUGGACCAAUUGGGACCAUGCACUGACUCGGAAAAUCACCUGGUCAGAACUUUGGAGGUCAGAGCCAGCAAGACUCAAGUUCCUGAUCCAGUCAGUGUAUGAUGUCCUCCCGAGUCCAUCUAACCUGCACUGCUGGGGUCUGGCAGAAACACCAUCAUGUCCACUCUGCCCCGCUAGAGGAACACUGGAGCACAUACUGAGCUGCUGCCCGAAAGCACUGGGAGAGGGGAGGUACAGGUGGCGCCAUGACCAGGUGCUGAAGGCAGUAGCUGACAUCAUCUGUGCUGGGAUCCAGCAAAGCAAGCACCAGCCUCCAGCAAGGCAUAACAUCACAUUCGUUAGGGCUGGGGAGAAACCACAGUCACAGCCAAAGGUCCCAGGUGGUCUUCUAUCCUCAGCGGGAGACUGGCAGUUGAAGGUGGACCUGGGGAGGCAAUUGAAGUUUCCAGAGCACAUCACCAGCACAACACUCAGGCCGGACAUGGUCUUAACAUCAGAGAGUUCGAAGCAGGUAGUGUUACUGGAACUGACAAUACCCUGGGAAGACCGGAUCGAGGUAGCCUAUGAGAGGAAGAAGGCUAAAUACCUGGAACUAGUGGAGGACU
rnacentral:lncRNA from 1 species